GGGCCCGUAGCUCAGUGGCAGAGCAGUCGGCUCAUAACCGAUCGGUCCCUGGUUCGAAUCCAGGCGGGCCCA
rnacentral:tRNA from 1 species